GCAAUGGGAAAGGUUAAAAUGAUAGCUUCGGAAUUCGAAACGCCCACAAGGGUGGUGAAGAACCGGAAUGGUUCUAAGGGUGCUGAGUCAGGUGGGUUUGUGCUCUGGCAGAUGAAUCCUGACAUGUGGUAUGUUGAGCUUGCUGUUGGUGGUAGUAAGGUUCAUGCCGGUUGCAAUGGCAAACUUGUUUGGAGGCACACUCCAUGGCUUGGUGCUCAUACUGCAAAAGGGCCUGUCAGACCUUUGCG
rnacentral:misc_RNA from 1 species